CGUGUGUAUGUUUGACUAACAUUUUCAUUUCGUUGCUGCGUUUUAAACUGAUUGCAGUAAUAAAGUGUGAAAAUUUAGUAAAAUAAUAAAUUCGUUUAAGAAAAUUAAUUGUGGAAAGGAUAAAAGACUUAAAUUUUUGCUUAUAAAGGGAGCGAUUUACAGAGAAGUCGUGUGCAUAGAAAGUUUUCUUAACUAUAACAUAGUAAAGAAGUAUUCCAAUUGUGGGUCGCAGCAAGGAAGUAAAGCAAACGCCAAAAAACUUGGAAAAGUCGCUCGACAACUGCAAUUAACUUGACCGUAAAAUAAAGUAAUCAUAGUAAAAGUGACAUCCGCGCUGCAACUUUGUGGCUAGUGUGCUUGUCUCAAUCGUUGUCAAAGCUAUAAACACGAGACAAAGUCGAUUAGCUACCGACAUUGUUUUCAAUUCUCCUGCCCCUUUGGGUUAAAAGGCCGCGACAGUGUGCCACUGAACGCCACAUACCAAAAUAUAAAGCAGCGGGGUGAUUUGGGGCGGUAGGCAAAGCACGGAGCACUUAUUAAAAGUUGUAUGCUGCUGGAACCAACGAAGGUGCUAAAAGUGACGUAUAUAUACGCCAUUAACAUAUUGGUUUCUACAAACAGUUGAAGGGCAGUGCAGAUGUGGAAUAAGUAAACUUUGAUUAGUCACCAAGUAACCCGCUGAAAUAUACAAAUAAGCGUAUAUUCUGUGUAUAUGAGUUGCAUUGGAAAACUUGAUUAUUUGAACAACAAGUAUUAACUCUUGUUUGCAGCUACAUAAAUCAAACGCAACAGACAAUUUGUCGUUAGCCGUGCACUUAAAACUUCCAAUUGUUUAUUAAGACAACCAAACUGUGCCUAAUUCCUGCUGAAACAUCAGUAACAAAAGAAAAUCCAAAAAUAAUAAAUAACUCGGCAUAACAAGAAAACAGCUAAAAAUAUAAUAUGGAGUCUGAUGAGGAUUCUUAUGAGAUGGAGAAUGUUGAUUCUGGCAAUGUAUCGUCAGGCGACGAGGGCGAUGAAGAUUUCGGUAUGGAGGUCGAUAUACCCUCUUCACAUGAUCGCCAAAUGGAAACAGAGGAGUAUCAAUAUGAAGUGCUCUCUACAGAUGAAAUAGUACAGCAUCAGCGAGAAAUAAUCGAUGAAGUCAACAAUGUGCUCAAGCUGCCGCCCACAAUAAUCCGCAUACUGCUAAAUCAUUACAAAUGGGAUAAAGAAAAGCUACUAGAAAAAUAUUUUGAUGGUAAUACAGAGGAAUUCUUCAAGGGCGCACAUGUCAUUAAUCCAUUCAACAAAUCUACCACUCCAAGUCGACUUAAGUUGUCCAAAAAUCCAGUGGAGGAAUGCGAAAUUUGUUUCUCAUUGCUGUCACCAGAUGGCAUGACUGGUCUGGAGUGUGGCCAUCGCUUUUGCUUGGUCUGCUGGCGUGAGUAUUUAACGACAAAGAUCGUCACCGAAGGUCUCGGUCAAUCCAUCUCGUGCGCCGCACAUGGCUGUGAUAUUUUAGUUGAUGACGUUACCGUCACUAAACUAGUGGAUCCGCGUGUCAAAGUGAAAUACCAACAGCUGAUCACAAACAGUUUUGUCGAAUGCAAUCAGCUAUUACGCUGGUGUCCGUCCGUCGACUGUACGAAUGCAAUUAAAGUUUCGUAUGGUGAUGCACGCCCCGUGAGUUGCAAAUGCGGGCAUGUCUUUUGCUUUGCCUGCGGCGAAAAUUGGCAUGAUCCCGUCAAAUGUUGUUGGCUGAAAAAAUGGAUCAAGAAAUGCGACGACGAUUCGGAGACAUCCAAUUGGAUAGCGGCUAACACAAAAGAGUGUCCAAAAUGUAAUGUGACGAUCGAAAAAGAUGGCGGCUGCAAUCAUAUGGUGUGUAAAAAUCAAAAUUGUAAACACGAUUUCUGUUGGGUGUGUUUAGGUUCAUGGGAGCCGCACGGCUCGUCGUGGUAUAACUGCAAUCGCUACGAUGAGGACGAGGCGAAGGCGGCGCGUGAUGCACAAGAGAAAUUGCGCUCCUCAUUGGCAAGGUACUUGCAUUACUAUAAUCGUUAUAUGAAUCACAUGCAGUCGCUGAAAUUUGAGAACAAACUCUAUGCGGCCGUUAAACACAAAAUGGAGGAGAUGCAGCAGCACAAUAUGUCCUGGAUUGAAGUGCAAUUUUUGAAAAAGGCCGUAGAUAUACUCUGCCAGUGCCGUCAAACACUCAUGUACACAUACGUGUUUGCCUAUUAUCUGAAGAAGAACAAUCAGUCAAUGAUCUUUGAGGAUAAUCAAAAGGAUUUGGAAUCAGCAACUGAGAAACUGUCUGAGUACCUGGAGCGUGAUAUAACUUCAGAGAAUUUGGCUGAUAUUAAACAAAAAGUUCAGGAUAAAUACAGGUAUUGCGAGAAGCGUCGCAAGGUGCUGCUGGAUCAUGUUCAUGAAGGCUACGAGAAGGACUGGUGGGAGUAUACAGAAUGACGCGAAUCCUGGAUGGAUGAUUAAAAAGCACCAACAAAAACAUAAUUUUUCAUUGAAUAAACAAUAGAGCAGAGCAGAGCCGAGCAGAGAACGGACGGAAGCAGCAGUUUGAGAUAUAAUGAUGUCACUAGUGUUUAUCGAAUGAAAAUGCAUGGUAAAACCCUAAAAAAAAAAAACGAAACUGAAAACAAGAAAAGCGCCGCAACUCCCAUAGUGCAGUAGCAAGCGUGUGUCAAUAAAUGGGGGCCGGAGUGGUGGAUGAAACGCGAACUUUGUUAGCCAAUGCUACAUAAAUAUAUAUAUGUGUGUGUGUUUGACGAUUAUAUGUGUGUGUAGCACAUAGCGGCCACGAAGCGAAAAUUAACAAAACACCAACAAUGCGACAGGCGAAUAAUGGAAAUAAUACUGCUUAACAAGACUUAAGUUGCAAAUUUAUUAUGAAUUGUAAUAAGUAAAUUACGCAAAAAACAGGAAAUUUCCCACAAAAAAUAGAAAAAAAAAAUGAAAAUAAGCAAAUUCAACAAAUACUAGCAAUACAAAAACACUAAAACCAAUACCAUUACGUAUAUAUAUAUCUGUAUGUACAUGUAAAGAACCAGCACCAAUAGGGCAGGCAGACACCAGUUGCAGUGCGGGGUUAAUUUCGAGGUGAAAGUUACAAAAAUGCUUAAAAUUUUGCAUUGCGUCGAGUGAGCAUCAAGGAAAGGUUGCACUGUCAUUUUCCAAACUACACUAUCAUACAAUUUACACACAACACCACUACUCCGCACCACAGGCCACCACAGCCUGCCGCUAACUGCAAGAACAUGCAUGCUUUGGUUGACUUCUUGUUUAAAAGCAUCUGUUGUUCUUGUUUUGUGUUUUGUUUUUGGUUUGGUGUGGGUGCUGUUUUCAACAGAUUUCUACUUGAAAUAGGUCUUUUUAAGCAAAUUAGCGUUAGAAUGGCGUUUUAAAACAACAACAUAUUUGUACACAACAACAACUACGCAAAAUGUAUAUGCUAGAGCAUAGUAUGUAGUUAGAGUUAGCAAUGCGAAAUCGCAAACGCGGGGAAAAUGUAGAUUUUCUUUUUUGUGCGUGUGGCAAGCGUCAGUGUUGCCCAGGUGUCUGAUUUGGCAUUGUAUGCAAGAUUUUGUUAUGUAAAAUUAAUGUUUAGGAGUUGGAAGCAAAAAAAAUUGUAAUUGUUUUGUGUUCUUAUUAAUAUUAAUAAUAUUAUUUUUUAAUUUUAAUUCAAAUGAAGCUGAACGCAAAAGAAAUGCUAAGUUUUCCUCAUAUGAUUGUCACUAUUUUUAUGUUGAUCCUUAUUUUGUAGUGUAUAAAAUCGCAAUCGCAAUUUUACCCAAAACCGCCAUACAUAUAUACAAACAACAAGAACAUGAAAAACAAUACAAAUUUACUAUGCAAAUUUUGGACGCUCAUUCAGCAGCAGCAACCAACCACAAGAGAAACCAAAAAGAAAAAAUGCAAUUUAUAUAUGUUUGUAUGUGUUGGCGUGCUGUUGUACGUUUUAAGCGCCUGCUUGCUCACUUAUCUUUAAGGCUUCACUCACCUCCAUCCCGUAAUCCAGCGCUAUUAAAGACAUGUAGUUAAAGUGUUUGCAAAUGCAACUAUUGUUUAGAAUAUCAUAUAAAAUUAUAUUUAAAAUAGGCACAGACU